rnacentral:rRNA from 1 species
UACGUAGGGUGCAAGCGUUGUUCGGAAUUACUGGGCGUAAAGGGCUCGUAGGCGGCCAACUAAGUCGGAUGUGAAAUCCCCAGGCUUAACCUGGGAACUGCAUCCGAUACUGGAUGGCUUGAAUCCGGGAGAGGGAUGCAGAAUUCCAGGUGUAGCGGUGAAAUGCGUAGAUAUCUGGAGGAAUACCGGUGGCGAAGGCGGCAUCCUGGACCGGCAUUGACGCUGAGUGAGCGAAAGCCAGGGGAGCAAACGGG